AUUGAACGCUGGCGGCAUGCCUUACACAUGCAAGUCGAACGGUAACAGGUCUUCGGAUGCUGACGAGUGGCGAACGGGUGAGUAAUACAUCGGAACGUGCCUAGUAGUGGGGGAUAACUACUCGAAAGAGUGGCUAAUACCGCAUGAGAUCUACGGAUGAAAGCAGGGGAUCGCAAGACCUUGUGCUACUAGAGCGGCCGAUGGCAGAUUAGGUAGUUGGUGGGAUAAAAGCUUACCAAGCCGACGAUCUGUAGCUGGUCUGAGAGGACGAUCAGCCACACUGGGACUGCGAAACGGCCCAGACUCCUACGGGAGGCAGCAGUGGGGAAUUUUGUACAAUGGGCGCAAGCCUGAUCCAGCAAUGCCGCGUGCAGGAUGAAGGCCUUCGGGUUGUAAACUGCUUUUGUACGGAACGAAAAGCCCCGGGUUAAUACCCUGGGGUCAUGACGGUACCGUAAGAAUAAGCACCGGCUAACUACGUGCCAGCCGCCGCCGUAA
rnacentral:rRNA from 1 species